AUUGAACGCUGGCGGCAGGCCUAACACAUGCAAGUCGAGCGGAGGAAGGGAGCUUGCUUCUGGAUUCAGCGGCGGACGGGUGAGUAAUGCCUAGGAAUCUGCCUGGUAGUGGGGGAUAACGUCCGGAAACGGGCGCUAAUACCGCAUACGUCCUGAGGGAGAAAGUGGGGGAUCUUCGGACCUCACGCUAUCAGAUGAGCCGAGGUCGGAUUAGCUAGUUUGUGGGGUAAAGGCCUACCAAGGCGACGAUCCGUAACUGGUUUGAGAGGAUGAUCAGUCAAAUUGGAACUCGGAGACAGUCCAGGCCCCUGCGGGAAGCAGCAGUGUGGUAUAUUGGGCGAUAGGCGAAAGCCUGAUCCAGCCAUGCCGCGGGUGUGAAGAAGGUCUUCGGAUUGUAAAGCACUUUAAGUUGGGAGGAAGGGCAGUGAGUUAAUACCUUGCUAUUUUGACGUUACCAACAGAAUAAACGCCGGCUAACUUCGUG
rnacentral:rRNA from 1 species